ACGAGUGGCGGACGGGUGAGUAAUGUCUGGGAAACUGCCCGAUGGAGGGGGAUAACUACUGGAAACGGUAGCUAAUACCGCAUAACGUCGCAAGACCAAAGAGGGGGACCUUCGGGCCUCUUGCCAUCGGAUGUGCCCAGAUGGGAUUAGCUAGUAGGUGGGGUAACGGCUCACCUAGGCGACGAUCCCUAGCUGGUCUGAGAGGAUGACCAGCCACACUGGAACUGAGACACGGUCCAGACUCCUACGGGAGGCAGCAGUGGGGAAUAUUGCACAAUGGGCGCAAGCCUGAUGCAGCCAUGCCGCGUGUAUGAAGAAGGCCUUCGGGUUGUAAAGUACUUUCAGCGAGGAGGAAGGGGAUGUGGUUAAUAACCGCAUUCAUUGACGU
rnacentral:rRNA from 1 species